rnacentral:rRNA from 1 species
CGCCAGACUCCUACGGGAGGCAGCAGUGGGGAAUAUUGCACAAUGGGGGAAACCCUGAUGCAGCGACGCCGCGUGAGCGAUGAAGUAUUUCGGUAUGUAAAGCUCUAUCAGCAGGGAAGAAGAUGACGGUACCUGACUAAGAAGCCCCGGCUAACUACGUGCCAGCAGCCGCGGUAAUACGUAGGGGGCAAGCGUUAUCCGGAUUUACUGGGUGUAAAGGGAGCGUAGACGGCGAUGCAAGCCAGAUGUGAAAGCCCGGGGCUCAACCCCGGGACUGCAUUUGGAACUGUGUGGCUGGAGUGUCGGAGAGGCAGGCGGAAUUCCUAGUGUAGCGGUGAAAUGCGUAGAUAUUAGGAAGAACACCAGUGGCGAAGGCGGCUUGCUGGACAGUAACUGACGUUGAGGCUCGAAAGCGUGGGGAGCAAACAGGAUUAGAUACCCGUGUA